rnacentral:rRNA from 1 species
AUGCGCAUGUACACUGAUUGUAGAUCCGUUAACAACAUAACUGUGAGAUAUCGGCACCCUAUUCCUAGGCUCGAUGACAUGCUUGAUGAACUUUGUGGCUCCACCAUAUUUUCCAAAAUUGAUUUGCAAAUUGGUUACCACCAAAUAAGAAUGAAAGAGGGUGACGAAUGGAAAACUGCAUUUAAGACAAAAUUUGGCUUGUAUGAAUGGUUGGUUUUGCCUUUUGGAUUAACAAAGGCACCUAGUACUUUCAUGAGAUUGAUGAAUCAUGUUCUUAGAUCCUUCAUUGGCAAGUUUGUCGUGGUUUACUUUGAUGACAUAUUGAUUUAUAGCAAAACUUUGGAGGAUCAUGUUGUACAUAUAAAAUGUGUGCUUGCUGUCCUACGGGAGGAAAAGUUGUAUGCUAACGUGCAAAAGUGCACAUUUUGCACAAACAAGGUUGUGUUUCUUGGCUUUGUUUUUUCAGCAAAAUGUGUUGAGGUCGACGAAGAGAAGAUCAAGGCUUUUCGUGAGUGGAUGCCUCCACAAAAUGUGAGCCAAGUACGUAGCUUCCUCGGACUUGCAGGUUUCUACCGCCGGUCGAUGAAGGAUUUCAGCACCAAUGUUGCACCAAUGAAUGAGAUAACGAACAAAGACACUCCAUUCCAAUGGGGUGAUGCCCAAGACAAGUCCUUCCAAGAAUUGAAGAUGAUAUUGACAUCAGCCCCAUUGCUUUCACUUCGUGAUUUUGGUAAGACAUUUGAGAUUGAAUGUGAUGCAAGUGGUGUUGGCAUUGGUGGAGUACUAAUGCAAGAAGGUAAACCCAUCGCCUAUUUUAGUGAGAAGCUUAAUGGUCCAACUCUUAAUUAUUCUGUCUAUGAGAAAGAAUUGUAUGCACUUGUUCUAUCUUUGGAAACAUGGCAGCAUUACUUGUGGCCAAAAGAGUUUGUAAUACAUUCUGACCAUGAAUCUUUAAAGCAUCUAAAGGGCCAACUAAAACUGAACCGUAGACAUGCAAAAUGGAGUGAGUUAAUAGAGGCUUUUCCUUAUAUUGUCAAGUACAAGAAAGGGAAGGAUAAUGUUGUUGCCGACGCAUUGUCUAGGCAUCACAUUUUACUUUCCCUACUUGAUGUUAAAAUCCUUGGUUUAGAAAGCAUCAAAGAAUUGUAUGCUAACGACUCAUACUUUUCUGAACCAUUUUUAAAGUGCAACAAGGGAAAGGGAUGGGAGAAGUUUCAGUUGCAUGAUGGAUUUCUAUUUCAAACUAACAAAUUGUGCAUCCCAGAUUGUUUUGUUCAGUUGUUGCUCUUGCAGGAGGCUCACGCUGGUGGCCUCAUGGGACAUUUUGGAGCCAAGAAAACUGAGAGUGUCGUGGAAUUGUCACGACAAAUGUCCUAA